GAUGAAGAACGCAGCGAAAUGCGAUACGUAAUGUGAAUUGCAGAAUUCAGUGAAUCAUCGAAUCUUUGAACGCAUAUUGCGCUCUCUGGUAUUCCGGAGAGCAUGCUUGUUUGAGUAUCAGUAAACACCUCAACUUCCAUAUCUUUUUUGAAAUGGGAGUUGGACUUGAGUGAUCCCAACGCUUUUCCUCACCGAAAAGUGGCGGGUUACUUGAAAUGCAGGUACAGCUGGACUUUUCUCUGAGCUAUAAGCAUAUCUAUUUAGUCUGCCUAAAAAACAGAUUAUUACCUUUGCUGCAGCUAACAUAAAGGAGAUUAGUUCUUGUGCUGACUGAUGCAGGAUUCACAAAGACGGCUUCGGCCGACUUUGUAAACUCGAUCUCAAAUCAAGUAAGACUACCCGCUGAACUUAAGCAUAUCAAUAAGCGGAGGA
rnacentral:misc_RNA from 1 species